rnacentral:rRNA from 1 species
ACGGGGGUUGCAAGCGUUGUCCGGAAUUACUAGGCGUAAAGGGCAGGUAGGCGGAUCCAUAAGUUUUUUGUUAAAGGCAACGGCUUACCCGUUGUAAGGCAGGUGAUACUGGGGAUCUAGAAUGCGGGUGAGGAAGGUGGAAUUCCGGGUGUAGAGGUGAAAUGCGUAGAUAUUCGGAAGAACACCAGUGGCGAAGGCGGCUGACUGGACAAGUAUUGACGCUGAGCUGCGAAAGUGUGGGUAUCAAACAG